rnacentral:rRNA from 1 species
ACGCAAAGAACCUUUCCAGGGCUUACAUUCCGCGAACCCUGCGGAAACGUGGGGGUGCUUCGGGAGCGCGGACACAGGGUGGUGCAUGGCUGUCGUCAGCUCUUUGUCGUGAGAUGUUGGGUUAAGUCCCGCAACGAGCGCAACCCUUGUCCCUAGUUGCCAGCAUUGAGUUGGGCACUCUAGGGAGACUGCCGGUGACAAACCGGAGGAAGGUGAGGAUGACGUCAAGUCAGCAUGCCCCUUACGCCCUGGGCUACACACGUGCUACAAUGGCGCGGACAAAGGGUCCGAGCGCGCGAGCGUGAGCCAAUCCCAAAAACCGCGUCUCAGUUCAGAUCGCAGGCUGCAACUCGCCUGCGUGAAGGCGGAAUCGCUAGUAAUCGCAGAUCAGCAUGCUGCGGUGAAUACGUUCCCGGGCCUUGUACACACCGCCCGUCACACCAUGGGAGCUGGCCAUGCCCGAAGUCGGAGCACCCGCCGAAGGCAGGGCUGGUGACUGGGGUGAAGUCGUAACAAGGUAA